ACACUAGUCCAGUCUAGUAUAGUCCAGUCUGUAAGAUGCCUUUCAUCGACCUACAGAGUAACCUCUCGGCCAGCUCCUUCUCUGAGGACUUUCUGAAGAAGCUGUGCAGCAGCACCGCGGCUGCUCUGGGAAAACCGCAGGACAGAAUGAAUGUGGUGGUGAAGCCCGGGUUGCCGAUGCUGAUAGCGGGCUCUAACUCGCCAUGUGUGAUGCUGUCAGUUUCUGCUAUCGGUGUGACUGACACUGCUGACAAGAACAAGGAGCACAGUGCCAAGAUCUUUGAGUUUCUGACCAGAGAACUUGGUCUGACUGAAGACAGGAUUGUUAUACAGUUCCACGCACUGCAGCCUCAUCAGGUUGGGAAGAAGGGAACUGUGAUGAGCUUCUUGUGAAGGACGUCAUUUCUGAUACAGCUCACAGUCUCACUCCUAAAAGAAGACAACAUAGACAGAUGAGAUCAGUAUUAAUCACGCUCUAAAAUGCAGGAGAUGAACUGGACUCUGGACUCUGUGUUUCUGUGUGAAUCUUGUAGUCUCCAGGAAUAAAGACAUGUAUGAAACUGCUGUGAGUGAUUGACUUAAAAAGGAUCCACAGUGACUUUACUGUCAGACGAGCAUUUGUAACACUGUAGAAGGCCUCACAUUAUUCACUUAGUGGGUAUCACAGUUUGGAAACAAAGCUGCUGUUUUACCUUUUAAAUCUGGAUGAAAUAAAGACAGGUUGUGUUAAAUCUGAAUCUGAUAAGUACCUUCAAUACCUCUAUACAGUGUGUUUAAGUCUACUUUCAUCUUGAUAGUGAUAUAUAGGAAAUUUAAAAACAUUACACCAGAGGCCUUGUACCAUGAAGUGUUUUCAGGUUAGUCCUGCUCUCUUGAGGAUAUCUGGGUUCACUGAGGCUAACAUCGCCCAUUCUGGACGGCCUGUGACAUGAAGCUGGUUAUCACCUGGCUCUGUUAACUCUUGGUUUACGGAUCAGAUAACGGGCAUGUCUAUAUGUCGGAGGAGAAAGAGGCAUUGUCAGAACCAAGAAUGUAGUACUUAAUAUGUUAUGAGAUGAAACAACAUUUUCCACGUCGUUUAACCUGCGGCUAAACGUGGUUACCCCCAUAUCCAGUCCAUCAAUGGACCAGACAGCGUCAAAGGAGCUAAGGAUCCCAGUCAGCUCCACACCGCACAAACAGAUUUGACAUCUUGCUGCUCCUUUCUGUAAGUGCAACCAUCGUCAUUAAUCAUUGGGGACUUCAUUACUAGGCACGUUAAAAAAAAAUCAGCCAAAACAUACAAUGUUGAUGACAGCUUCUGAUUUAACAGUUGAAAGGAAAGUUAAGUUACAAUGCUGAGUGAUGAUUCUGUUUUUUGUACCUCUUACUGUUGUGCUGCGUUAUAGUUACAGCCUUAAUGCUGUUUAAUAAACACUUUCAGAUUUGUGAAACCACUAUA